rnacentral:rRNA from 1 species
GUCUACGGCCAUGCCACCCUGAGCAUGCCCGAUCUUGGAAGCUAAGCAGGGUCGGGCCUGGUUAGCACUUGGAUGGGAGACCACCUAUCCAAGAGCAGGUGCUGUAGGCA